rnacentral:rRNA from 1 species
UACGUAGGCAGCAAGCGUUGUUCGGAAUUACUGGGCGUAAAGAGUGUGUAGGCGGUGUUCUAAGUCUGUUGUGAAAUCUCCCGGCUCAACUGGGAGGGUGCGGCGGAGACUGGAAUGCUAGAGUAUGGGAGAGGUAAGCGGAAUUCCUGGUGUAGCGGUGAAAUGCGUAGAUAUCAGGAGGAACACCUGUGGUGUAGACAGCUUACUGGACCAUGACUGACGCUGAGACACGAAAGCGUGGGUAGCAAACAGG